rnacentral:rRNA from 1 species
AGUGAACGCUGGCGGUAGGCCUAACACAUGCAAGUCGAACGGCAGCACAGUAAGAGCUUGCUCUUACGGGUGGCGAGUGGCGGACGGGUGAGGAAUACAUCGGAAUCUACUUUUUCGCGGGGGAUAACGUAGGGAAACUUACGCUAAUACCGCAUACGACCUACGGGUGAAAGCAGGGGAUCUUCGGACCUUGCGCGAUUGAAUGAGCCGAUGUCGGAUUAGCUAGUUGGCGGGGUAAAGGCCCACCAAGGCGACGAUCCGUAGCUGGUCUGAGAGGAGGAUCAGCCACACUGGAACUGAGACACGGUCCAGACUCCUACGGGAGGCAGCAGUGGGGAAUAUUGGACAAUGGGCGCAAGCCUGAUCCAGCCAUACCGCGUGGGUGAAGAAGGCCUUCGGGUUGUAAAGCCCUUUUGUUGGGAAAGAAAAGCAGCAGGUUAAUACCCCGCUGUUCUGACGGUACCCAAAGAAUAAGCACCGGCUAACCUCGUG